AACGUCUGUUGCCAAGCUUCCUUUUUUUGCUUGAGGAAGAUUCUCCCUGAGCUAACAUCUGUGCCAGUCUUCCUCUAUUUUGCAUGUGGGAUGCUGCCACAGCAUGGCCGAUGAGUGGUGUAGGUCUGCACCUGGGACCCGAACCCACCAACCUGGGCCACUGAAGUGGAGUGUGCCGAACUUAACCACUACACCACAGGGCCGGCCCCUUUCUCACUUUUUUCUUUUUAAACUUAGCAUUGUCAUAAGAAGUAAUACAUGUGGAGUCAUAGGUUGGUGUGUUAUUUUUUCCUAAUAUCUAUUUGAAUAAUACAUACUUAUUUAAAAAUCCCAACAUGUGGUAGAUAACUUUAUUUUAAACGCCACUAGUGAUAUUUCUAUCAUACCUGGGAAAUGCUGUUCACAUAAUGAAUAUUAUUUUUUAGGAUCUUCAGUGCUUAAUCCAUAAAAUUCUAAUAGAAAUAGAUGCAGUCACAGGAACUAGCGGACGUACUGUGUCUAACAGGGCUUUGGUUACAGCUUUUUCCUAUCACAGAUUAGUAUUCUGUUUGAUUAAUAUCUACAUUUGUUUGUGACUGAGGGACAACGAAAACAGUGUAUUUAAAUAAUUUUUGAACAGUGUUAAGCAGGAUGUGCUUCUAAAGUUAGUGAGGAAUGGGCCUAAGGAAGUGCUAAUGACCGUGACAUUAAGAUACAAAAAUCUUGGAAAAUACUGAUACUUGUGGUAGAGAAAGAAUUUGAUAAUCCCGUGAUCCGAGGGUGAAGAAGAUAAUGAGGCUUGACCGGCCCCGGGGAAGCGUUGUUAGAUUAGUGACUUAAAUUUCAGGUAUUGAGGAAAGAAUUCCAGUAGGGAAGUUUUUCGCAUUUUCCUCUUCUUCUCCUUUUAUUUGCCCAUAUCUUUUUGUUCACUUGAGAGUAUGUAAGAUGUUGUCCUGGGGACAUUUCCUAUCAGUGUCAGCAGGAAAGAGUACUUUGUUGGAGGGGUGCCCUGGCGAUCCUUGGUAGCUGAGGAAGUACCCACGUGCUGCUUCUCUCCCCUCUCAAAUGGUUUUAAAGUUCUAGAAUUUGCCUAAACCAUUGGAUUUAUAUAUAAUUUAAAUGUUAACUUCUUCCGUCAUUUUGGUAAGUUUGUCCCUUGGUGUAUAAAUUAAUACUUUAAAUUUGUUCUAAAACAUCUGUGUUUAAAGUUGAAAAGCAAGUUGCUUAUUUCAGGUGUUCCAGAACUUUGUAGAUGAGUCUUAUACACUAUAGACAGUGAGCACAUUGAAACUUAGUCUUUUUGGUUUUCCUUUUGAAGAGUCUAACUUCAUAUAUAGUCCUGUUUUCGCUCCUGACUUCCUUUACCCAUUUUUUAUGAUUUGAAUCAUUAACACCCUAUACCAGCAGGCAGGAUAGUAAAAGCAGGCAAGGUAAAUAAAGGAAAAGUGAUAGAACUUCAGAUGAGUUAAUUUUGUAAUUUGUGUUAGAUCAGUUAAAACAGGAGUAUGUUAAAAUAGUCAAAGAACAAUCGUUUAAACUUUGGAGAUUUUUUGCCCUUUUCUCACUUAGAACAAUUAAUUGACAGUGAGAUGUGAGAGACACUGACAGAGCUUUAGUGAAAAGCAGCAAAAUGGAAUUCAGAAGGAGAAUUUAGAGGGAAAACUUGAAAAUGGAAAUGCAGUUUUGCUAGGUGAAAACUAAGGAAAAGGGGAUCAGGAAAGUUACAGAAAAAUGAUAGCAUUCUCGAAUGAAUGGCAUAACGUUUAUAGAGAGAACCUGCUGAGAUGGUGAAAGAGUCUAGAGAUGUGUGUGAUUGCAAACCUCCCCCCUUUUUGAGCGAAUAGACCGUUCAAACUAAAUUAAGAAAAGGAUAUAAAGUCUGUUGUUUGUUUUAAUAUUUCAUGACUGAUUUUAUAGAUGAAAUUAUAUUUUACAAUAAAUAGGAAGAAGAAUUUAUGUAGCCUGUUCUAUUUGAUGUGAAACAGCAAAUCCCGUCUCUCUGUAGCUGUGAAGAAAAUUCGUUAUAAUGUCUUUAGUUGUAAGAGAUGGUUUCAUUGUGAUUAGUUACAUUGAUGAUAAAACAACCUUUUCAAAUGGCAUACGACACGAAUGAUCGUGUGUGUCUGCUUUUAAUGGCAUUGAAAUUUUUCAUUUUCUGUUUUACUCAUAGAAUUUUCCUUUUUUUAUGCUGUUUUCCUGUUCCAAUAAGAAUUUUCUUCCUUUUGAGAAAAAUCAAAACAAUUAGAUGGAAAUAUUAACAAAGCAUUAAUUUUAAAAAUACAUUUUGAAAGGAGAUAUAUUGGAUUUUAACUUUUUGUGUAAAAUCUUUCCUACUACACAAGAUAGCUUUGUCAGAGGUGGUUAAGAUCGCCAUAAAAUUGACUUUAUUACUGGAUCAAUUUAAUGUAUUUGGAAAAUAGUACUUGAAGUGUAGGAACAUUUUAAUAAAAGAAACAGCCAAGUAAGAAAACUGGGCUAAUGUUACAGUUUAUUUUUGUCCCAUGACUUGUCACGUUAUGUUGCUGUUACUACAUCCUCACGAGUAGUGUUGGGAAGGGGAGACUCUUUGAUAAUGAAAGGGGUGAGGUCUGUUUAUUCUGUUACAGUCACCAUGGCUUGAUCCCUAUUAGUAUGGCUUUUUAAUGAUUGUUUUAGCUCUAACUUAAGCACUAAGCAAAUAUUCUAAUUUUUAACUUGCAGGCAGAAUCAAAUUAGGUAUUUGAAACAGAACAUGGGUAUCCCCUGGAAUAGGAACAGUAUUCUCUUCUGACUUGAGUGCGAAUUUUUUUCUCUCUGUCGAUAGUUUUAUUUACUCUGACCAUUUGGGCUUAAGAGCACAUAGUUCUAGCUUGUCUUGGGUUUGUCCUUGGACUCUGGCUGGGGAAGGUUAUUUUUAGAAGUAGGCUAGACAUGGCAUGUGAGAUGCUUUGGAGGUGGAACUUAAUCAGAUGUGAGUCCUGUGACCAGAGCCCCUACAUCUCCGAAGUUUGAAUGCCUCCUGCUAGGUGAGGGUGAGGAAGUUUUGUAUUCUGUGUGGCCAAAAGGAUUGUGACUCAUUCAGCCCCAGUGGCAUGUGGCUGUAUAGGUGUUUACUGCAUGGGCUGCCCCAUCAGGUUUGGGGAAGAGUAGAAAUAGAGGUUGCUAACAUUUCUGAGCUUAGCUGGACAGGAACUCAUGGCUACUGUUAUCUUUGAGGCAAGUUGUUUGCUAUAAAUGAUUCUAGGGGCCAAUAAGAAUGAAUGCCUUCAUCCAAAAUGAGGUUUUUCAGGAAACAUGAAGACAUUUCUUUUAUUCCAUACAAAUCUAAAUUUGAAACUCUCUACCUCAUGUCUUUGUUAGUUAGCUCUUUAAUAAUUCUUGAUUUUAGUAUCCCAGUUUUUCAUUGUAAGCCGUGUCAAGUCUGGUUUUGGUAGUGGGAGAGGCAUAAAUGUAAAUGUCAGUUUAUUAAGUUUUGAAAUCUUUCAGAAGUUUGAUGGGAAUUCUUCUCUUCAACCAGUAUACUUCGUGGACCUCCUCCCGUGUACCUUAAUACUAUUGUGAUAGUAUAGAACAUUCUUGUUAAAGGUUGGAGGGUAUAGGAAAGGAAAUCUAUGUAAAAUAUAUACAAACGAGGGGUGAACUUGAGCUCUAUCUACUCUUGCUCAGGUGCAAAGGAGAGAGAGGGCAUUAUAUUAGUUAUCUACUCGAUGUGUAACAAAUUAUGUCAGAACUUAGUGGCUUAAAGCAAAUAAGCAUUUAUUAUUCUCUCAGUUUCUGUGGGUCAGGGUGUGGAGUAGGCUCAUUACCCAGUUGGUCGUGGCUGCAGUCAGGAUUUUGUAGGGGCUGCAAUCAUCUGAAGGCUUGCCUGGGGCUGGAGGAGCUGCUCUCCAGGCAGCUCACUCCCAUGGCUGUUGGCAGGAGGCCCCAGUUCCUCUUUGGCUCUUGGUAGGAGGCUUCGGUUCCUUGCCCCCUGGGCCUCCAUGUGCACAGGCUGCAGAAGUGUUCUUGCGACAGGUCCCCCACUUCCUUGGGCGGAGUGAUCAAGAGAGGGGGCAAGCAGGAUACCGGCACCUCUGUGACUGUGUCUCCAGAGCCGAAAACCCUCACUGCCACUGUUUUCUGUCCCUUGCAAGCACUUGGUCACCAAGGCCAGCCCACACCAAGGGGAGGGAAUUAGGCUCCACCUUUUGAAGGGAGUGUCAGAGAAUUUGUGGACUCAUUCUGAAUCGCCACAGGCAUUUUCCUAGUGGGGGAAGGUAGAGUUAACAGACUUACCCUUAGGAAUGCAAUGCAGCCUGUCCCUGGCACGUUGAUGGAGGUGGGUUUGGCUGGACCCGAGUGUUCAGGAGCUGAUCCCAUUGUGAAUAAACAACUAUGUUACACAUCCAUUUGUGGUAAAAUUGCUUCUGAUGUUACCAAUAAAUGGUUUUUAGGGUGUUAAAUUUUACUCUUUUGUCAUGGAAGAAGUUAUUCAACUUGUGACUGUUAGCAUUUUCAUAGAAGAGUGAUUUUUUUCUUUGUAGGAUCAGAUACUUUAUUUUGUGGUCUCUGUUACAAAGUGAUGUUUCUGAUGGGAGAGUGUGGUGAGAGGAGGAUUACAUAAAGCACAGCUCCUUUUGGUUCCCCUUAGGUUAUGCACAUGGUGUUUUGUAACGACAACGAAUACUACAGUUUUCUCCUGAACAGACUAUAUAUGGACUUGGUGGUACUUUAUUAAAUCAGGUAAUCGUAUAAGACAUAUACUUUCGAUAAAAGGUCCAAUUGAAAAUGGUAGAUUAAGAAAGAGAUCUGAGCAGUCCGCUAAUUUCCGUUUAUUCCUGUCUUGCUCAGCUCGCAAUAGGCUUGUAGGAAGUCUUACGUGUCCUACCUUGCCCUUCCAGGAGGAGACUGUGCUGUAGGAUCUCCACAACUUCUGGAGUUCGUCCUUUUUUGACCUCCUCAAAGGGAAAGGGCAAAAGAGCAUUGGGAGCUUUUAUAAAUGCACGUGUGUGCACGCCAGCCAUGCUGCACACUAUCCCCUGUUGUGACUUUACCAUGGGCCUGGUGCCAACACGUGCUAACUGCACACUGCUUGCACCACUAAUUUGGGACACAGAUGGCCCAGACGUGUUUGUGGCUCAGUGAAGGUGAGGGAGCUGCUGAGCUGCCAGUCCACAAAGAUUGAUGAAAUCUGAGAACUUCAGAGGAAAGAGCUGGCGUGGCACCAAGGCCAUUAGCAUAUGGAAUCCUUAUCAAGUGUAUCUCGGCUUACUUGCACAUUGAAUUUUCAGUUAGACUUCUUUUAGUUUACUUAAUUACCUGCUUAUAACAAUUCAAAUAAAUCCUGAGAAGUUAUGUUUUGUGUAGCUAGGGAGCUGACUUCAUGUAGAUUAACACUGGAGUCCAAAAUCGGAGAGAAGGGAAGAGUCUCACGUAUAAACUUCACAUUGUGUCUUUGUACUCAGUUCACUUUGGGUUCUGUCUAAUGGAAUGCAGUGCCUUAAAACGUUACAUGGUUGUGUUUUCAACUAGUUUUAUCUUCUGUAGUAUAUUUAUUUUCUAGAAGGAUAUAUUUUAAAUGUUUUGGCACCGAUAAAAUGUAGAGAAAUGUAAAUAUAAUGGCAAUUAGACAGUUUCAUUUUUAAGAUUAGUAAUUUCUCUUUCAGUGAAGAGAAGGUGAGUCAGGUAUGGUAAUUUUUCUAUUUAAAAUGGGGUACUAGCAUUAUAGCAUAUGCAUAUAUAUUUUUCUUUAAAAUCAAUGAGUAUUCAGUAUUGGUACUAAAUUUAAACCUGGUUGUUCUUUAACAUUUUCUAAAAUUGAUCUUCCCUUAAUGGGCUUUCCGUAGAUAGGACAUAAGUUGAGCCUCAUGUUCAGUGAUUUCUCUCCUAUUUCGGAGCCCAGUUAAUCUUCACUAUGGCCAUCACUCCGUCACUUAAUCCACUUCAUGU